UAAAAAUAUAAGAAUGAUCACACAAUAGAUGCUGGAGAUUUUUAUUAAAUGAAGGACACAUGAAUGUAUCGAUAUGAAGAAAGUAUAUGCACAAGAACACAUUUUGUAGAAUAAAAGAAGAAAAUUUUUUUAGAAUAUAAUUUAAAGUUUGUGUUAUAUAAAACAUCAAGAAAUUAGUCUCAUAUCUUGGGUGAAGGUAACAAGGCGUAUAUCUUUACUUUUAGAUAUCUUAAAAUAGGUACAAAUGUGUUGGAAAUUUCAAAAUAAUGAGUAAAAAGCUCCAAAAUCAUUUUUAUUCAUGAAUUUAUGAAUUUAUAGAUUUUUGUAUUUUUCUGCAAUAUUUACGUCUUAGGAAUUUAAAGCUGGAGGGAAGAGGUUAUUAAUCUUGCAAGAUAUUCGAAAUGUUUCAAUUAAGAAACUGAGACUCUUUAUGUGGAAAUUGUUUUUUUUUAAUCUUGAAAAGCACAUGUGGAUUCUUAAAAAUAUUACGAAACCGAUUGAGACUUUGACGACUUGCACUUUCUUGAUGUCCUGUGAAGAGCAAUUAUAUUUUUUCCCUUGCUACAUCAAACAGGUUUGAUAUCAUUCUCUUUUAAUAAAACAUCUUUUAGGAGAACUCUUUUUCCCGCAGCAGUCACUGCAUUAAAUAGAUACUUUAGGUAUGAAUUAACCAUAUCUAACAUUUUACCUGGAGAAGUUUAGAGAAACAUAAACAUCAAUCAUAUAUCAUGAUCUGUUGGCAUUCGAAUUAUCGUUGGUCUUCAAAAUAUUGAUUAGGGUCAAAAUAUGGAUUUGGUUUUCGAUGUUUCCUGUGUUGGUUGUUUUCGAAUUUUAAGGUUUCUUCUGCAGGGAUGCUUUUAUAUUAUCUAUAGUUUAUUGUCACAAUUGAAAAGUUCUUUGUCAACUGAGAUUUUACUGCAGAGGAGGAUUAUUGUGGAUUUUUACUGCAAAAUGAUUUAUUGUAAAACUUGCAUGGGCUCAAUUUUUUUCAACAAGGUCAUUGCAAAGUAUGAAGCGUUCCAAAAAAAGGUUUAUUUCUCUAAGUCCUAUAUAUGAAUGAAAAAUUGUUUAUUGCAUUAUCUAGGGGAACGUAGAAUUUAAAAGAAUCGUUAUUAAAAGAUGCAAAGGAUUCUUAUAAAAUCAAUGGAAUUAUGGCGUUAUAGAGUAUUCAUUCUAAGGCAUCAUUUCAAAAGUGAUUUAUGAAAUAUAAUUGAAAAACAGGAUUAUAAUAGGAUUUCACAGAAGAAAAUUAUUAAGAAAUUUCACUGUUAAGACACCAUGGAUUUUAAUAAUUGAAGAGGAUCACUAUAAUAUUUCACUGUAAAAGACGAUCAUCGCGAAACUUCAUCGGACAAUUAGAUCGUCAUGGGACAUUAUCACAGAAGAGGAUCACUGUAAGAUUUCAUGAGGGAAUUGGAUCAUCGUGGGACUUGAUCGGAGAAGUGGAUUCUUUGGUUCGUUGUAGGAUUUAAUCGGAGAAGUGGAUCAUCGUAGGACUUCAUUGGAGAAACGGAUCGUCGUAGGAUAUUAUCGCAGAAGAGGAUCGUUGUAGGACUUAAUCGGAGAAGUGGAUUAUCGUAGGACAUUGUCGCAGAAGAGGAUCAUCAUAGGACUCAUCGGAGAAGCGGAUCGUUGUAGGAUAUUAUUGCAGAAGAGGAUCGUCGUAUGACUUCGUCGCAGAAGAGAAUCACUGUAGGAUAUUAUCACAGAAGAAGAUCAUCGUGGGACUUUAUCGGAGAAGCGGAUCGUCGUAGGAUAUUGUCGCAGAAGAGGAUUACUGUAGGACUUCAUCGUAGAAGAAGAUCAGGACUUCAUUACAGAAGAGGAUCAUUGUGGGACAUUCAUGAGGAAAUUGAAUCGUCGUGGGACUUCAUCGGAGAAGUGGAUCAUCGUGGGACUUCAUCGGAGAAGUGGAUCAUCGUGGGACUUCAUUGGAGAAACGGAUCGUCGUAGGAUAUUG